rnacentral:rRNA from 1 species
AGUGAACGCUGGCGGUAGGCCUAACACAUGCAAGUCGAACGGCAGCACAGUAAGAGCUUGCUCUUACGGGUGGCGAGUGGCGGACGGGUGAGGAAUACAUCGGAAUCUACUUUUUCGUGGGGGAUAACGUAGGGAAACUUACGCUAAUACCGCAUACGACCUACGGGUGAAAGCAGGGGAUCUUCGGACCUUGCGCGAUUGAAUGAGCCGAUGACGGAUUAGCUAGUUGGCGGGGUAAAGGCCCACCAAGGCGACGAUCCGUAGCUGGUCUGAGAGGGUGAUCAGCCACACUGGAACUGAGACACGGUCCAGACUCCUACGGGAGGCAGCAGUAGGGAAUAUUCGCCAAUGGGCGCAAGCCUGAUCCAGCCAUACCGCGUGAGUGAAGAAGGCCUUCGGGUUGUAAAACCCUUUUGUUGGGAAAGAAAAGCAGCAGAUUAAUACCCCGCUGUUCUGACGGUACCCAAAGAAAAAGCACCGGCUAACUUCGUG